rnacentral:misc_RNA from 1 species
CAAACCCAUCCCGCAAUUUGCAUUCUCUUGACCCAGCAGCCUUAGGAAUUGAAGGACAGAGAUACUUGCAGCAGCUGUCCAACCCUUCAAUUUCUGGCCAAAUCCCAUCCUUACCAACAUCUUUUCAUCUCUAACAGCAGCCCCAUGAUGGAAGAAACCAGUCACCAUCUUCUCCUCUUUACAGAACGCGAGAGAAGAAGCGAGAGGAGCCACAAUUGCUCUCCAAAAUCUAGCAAUUUCUUAUGAGAAUUUCACUCAUUCUUAGUGAUUUGGUCUAUUUGAGGCUGCAACAACCACUCCUAAACUCCCUUGUUGCUUCAAUUAGAGUUGAUUUCAUCCAUUUCAACCAAACAGCAAAAUAGAAACAGGAAAUAGAAGAGCUAUUGUUGCUGUCCCUCUUGGAUUUUGGCAUUUUCAAUGCCGUUAAAGCCAACCAGCAACAUCCCCGGC